rnacentral:misc_RNA from 1 species
AUCUCCUUCUACAUCCUGUCA